UGGGGAAUUUUGACAAUGGGCGAAAGCCUGAUCCAGCAAUGCCGCGUGUGUGAAGAAGGCCUUCGGGUUGUAAAGCACUUUUGUCCGGAAAGAAAUCCUUGGCUCUAAUACAGUCGGGGGAUGACGGUACCGGAAGAAUAAGCACCGGCUAACUACGUGCCAGCAGCCGCGGUAAUACGUAGGGUGCAAGCGUUAAUCGGAAUUACUGGGCGUAAAGCGUGCGCAGGCGGUUUGCUAAGACCGAUGUGAAAUCCCCGGGCUCAACCUGGGAACUGCAUUGGUGACUGGCAGGCUAGAGUAUGGCAGGAGGGGGGUAGAAUUCCACGUGUAGCAGUGAAAUGCGUAGAGAUGUGGAGGAAUACCCGAUGGCGAAGGCAGCCCCCUGGGCCAAUACUGACGCUCAUGCACGAAAGCGUGGGGGAGCAAACAGGAUUAGAUACCCUGGUAGUCCACGCCCUAAAGCGAUGUCAACUAGUUGUUGGGGAUUCAUUUCCUUAGUAACGUAGCUAACGCGUGAAGUUGACC
rnacentral:rRNA from 1 species